ACCAGUCCAAUUCGAACCGGUCCAAUAGAAUUAAUUUAUAUAUUUUUUAAAUAUUAUAUAUAUUUAUAUUUGAAAUUAUAUAUAUUUUCAUACCUGUCAAAUUUUGAUUGGGUGUGUAUGUUGCUACCAUAGGUAGCGCACACACAGGAUUACACCAAAUUCAGAUUGGGUUUUUUCAUUCUUCGUUCUUUCCUCUCCUCCCUCCCAUUUCGUUUCAUACUCAGCCAGCCGCCAGCCACCAACCACCGAUUCCAAACCUCUCUCUCAACCAGCACGUCACAGUCACACCCCUCUCUGCCGCCGCUCUUCUCUUAGCCUCUCUCAGUCGUUGCAGGUCAGAUUCUCUCUCUAUCUCUCUCCUUUUUUUUUUCUUUCCCCAAUUCAAUUUUCUGACUCUCUCUGUCUUCCAGCAAAUCGGAGAUCCCAUUCACUCGCCGCGUCCACCUCUUCAUCUCGUAUGGCUCUCUGUCUCUGUCUCUGUCUCUCAGACAGACAAAGCUUCAAUGCUGGAUGAGAUCAUCGAUUAUGUCAAAUUCCUCCAGCUCCAAGUCAAGGUUCUGAGCAUGAGCAGGUUGGGCGGUGCAGCUACUGUUGCUCCUCUUGUUGCUGAUGUGUCCUCUGAGGUAAAUUAAAAUGAAGAAACCCCUUUUAUCAACAGCAUUCAAUAUUUCAUCCUCAAGUUUUAUGAGUUUAUCUUUAAGACAGAUAUGACUUAUUACUGAUUCAAUAAUAGCCACAAGUAAUUUGCAUCUAUAAACUACUUUGCAAUACUAGAAUCAGACAGUAUAUAAAGGUUUUGCUAGUCAGUUAUGUUCUCAUUAAGCUCCUUCAGCAAAUUACUACUAGAGGUUAAAGUAGUUCUUCUCAAUAACAUGCUGUUACUUCCAAUCUUACUUGAUCUUUCUGUAUUGAUCAUUUUGUUCCAACCAUAGCUCCAACUACUUUUCAAUGUUAGGAGGAAUUUAAUUUGGGUUGUAAUGUAUAUUUGGUUGAAUUUGGGUUGUAUUUGGCUAGUAAUUUAUUUUGGAACUUAUUUUGUUGAAGUUUGAUUUAAUUUCGGUUGUAAUUUAUAU